rnacentral:sRNA from 1 species
GGGGAUCCGUGCUGCCAUGGAGCGUGCCGGCAAGCAGGAGAUGCUGCUGAAGCCACAUAGCCGUGUCCAGGUAUUCGAGGGUGCGGAGGACAAUCUCCCGGACCGCGAUGCGCUGCGGGCUGCACUGGCCAUCCAGCAACUGGCCGAGGGACUCACAGCUGAUGACCUGCUGCUCGUGCUGAUCUCAGGUGUGGUACCACAUUGGCCCAAGACUGUUGGUGGGGGGUGCACCACCUGAUCUCUCAGGUCUUCGAGAGAUCAGGUCUGAGCCCCCGGGGUCACAGGGUAAAGUUAGGAGCAAGGGAGGUGGUAAGGAGCCUGGAUGGUGACUCCUGGGUUGCCUUGGGCUAGUCGUCUGGCCUCCCCUGAGCUGUGGAGUCCUCCCCCUGAGCUGACCUUUUCGGUGACAGUGAGAGGGUGCAUGGGGAGCACAUAAUGCAGGGCCUGACACAUCCAUAGAGUCCUUGGAAAAUGUCACUGCUAUUGCUGCUGUCUGUACUAAUGUCACCUGGGGCUAGGCCCUCAGACCUCAUGGAGUCCUCUCCUUGAUCUUCCAUUGUGUGCCCCCUGCCCUGCCUCCUGUUCUAGUCUCUUAAGGAGUAGUUAGUUCUUCCGGUGCCUACUGGGACCUGGGGUACCCCAAGGCAGGGGCAACCUCAGGUGGCCAGGAUGUGGUGACUGUACACAUAUUGCAUAUCCACAGGGGGGCACCCUAACCCCACCUUUCCAGCCCCCUUUUUCUAAUGUGGGCUUGUCACCCCUGCUUGCCUGGUUCCCUGGGUUGGGAUAGCCCCUCUGCCUGAUACCCUCAUUGUCUUGGGAGGUGGGGGUUCAGCUCUGCUGCCUGCCCCCAUCCCACCUGUCACACUGGAGGAGAAGCAGACACUCACUAGACUGCUGGCAGCCCGUGGAGCCACCAUCCAGGAGUUGAACACCAUUCGGAAGGCCCUGUCCCAGCUCAAGGGUGGGGGGCUGGCUCAGGCCGCCUACCCUGCCCAGGUGGUGAGCCUCAUCCUGUCAGAUGUGGUGGGGGACCCUGUGGAGGUGAUUGCCAGUGGCCCCACCGUGGCCAGUUCCCACAAUGUGCAAGAUUGCCUGCAUAUCCUCAAUCGCUACGGCCUCCGUGCAGCCCUGCCACGUUCUGUGAAGACUGUGCUGUCUCGGGCCGACUCUGACCCCCAUGGGCCACACACCUGUGGCCAUGUCCUGAAUGUGAUCAUUGGCUCUAAUGUGCUGGCGCUAGCUGAGGCCCAGCGGCAGGCCGAGGCACUGGGUUACCAGGCUGUGGUGCUGAGUGCAGCCAUGCAAGGUGAUGUAAAAAGUAUGGCCCAGUUCUACGGGCUGCUGGCCCAUGUGGCUAGAACCCGCCUCACCCCAUCCAUGGCUGGGGCUUCUGUGGAGGAAGAUGCACAGCUCCAUGAGCUGGCAGCUGAGCUUCAGAUCCCAGACCUGCAGCUGGAGGAGGCUCUGGAGACCAUGGCACGGGGAAGGGGCCCAGUCUGCCUGCUGGCUGGUGGCGAGCCCACAGUACAGCUGCAGGGCUCGGGCAGGGGUGGCCGGAACCAGGAACUGGCCCUGCGUGUUGGAGCAGAGUUGAGAAGGUGGCCGCUGGGGCCGAUAGAUGUGCUGUUUUUGAGCGGUGGCACCGAUGGGCAGGAUGGGCCCACAGAGGCUGCUGGGGCCUGGGUCACACCUGAGCUUGCCAGCCAGGCUGCAGCUGAGGGCCUGGACAUAGCCACCUUCCUAGCCCACAAUGACUCACAUACCUUCUUCUGCCGCCUCCAGGGUGGGGCACACCUGCUGCACACAGGGAUGACAGGUACCAAUGUCAUGGACACCCACCUCUUGUUCCUGCGGCCUCGGUGAUGGCAUAGGUCACAUUUUGGGAGUUCAGAGGAGGCCUACAAGGGCAAGCCAGACUGGCAGAUGGGGGCUUCCCCCUACCCCUGAGGAUGAGGACAAGCCCCUCGGCCAGUUCAGUGUUCCCGUGCUUCUCCCUUGGGCAGCCUCUCUCUUGAGCCCCUCACCCUGUUUCUUUCUGUGAAGCGAGAAUGUCUGAAAAUAAAUAGGACCAUGCCAUGGG